rnacentral:lncRNA from 1 species
AUUUUACAUUCUUCAAAACAAGGCAAGCUAACAAUAAAUAAUACUUGCAAAUAUUCAGGCCCAUCCACAUGAAUUCAAAUUUAGGUUGUAGUAUAAGUUUAACUUGAUGGUAUCAUAAUGGCCUCAGUGAAAAUGGCCUGAACACAGAGGGCCUAAAGCAGGUCAUGUAAUACCAAGCCUUCAAUGAAGUGGUGAUCUUCAGAGGCCCCUCCUCGUGCCUGUCGAAUGUAGAUGUCUACCUGGAUGGACACCCUACCAACACUGUACAGGGCAAUGGAGAGGUCAUCUCCACCCCAUGGCCAGCACACCAUAUACAGCUGCAGCAGCUGGGACUUCAUGAUCCACACCAACGCCAUCGGGGUUACAUCCAUCUGCCCCUGGCUCUCAUUCUGUCAGAUGGAGAUCCCCGCAGUGGUCUAGCUGAAGACUAUGCUGUCACACUGCACGGCUGUCUUUUGAUGGACAGAAGGGACAGGAAAUGUGCCAUGGAGACAGCAUCAGCAUCACAACCUCCUGAUACCAGCUGUCCUCUUUCUGAGUUUGCACCCCGUGACGGACUGUAUUGAGAACAUGACCCAGUGUCUGCACUGGAAUGUUCCAAAGAAGUAAGCUCACUUUCCAGAGGAUGAGGAUGAGGACUAGGAGGAUGAAUACAGCUAGGUCUCAAUUUCCAGCCUCCAACCUGAGCACUUAAGCCCUUGGGGGCCUUCCAUAGCUUGCUCUACCCAUGGCCUUCUGGCUCAGCUGGCCUUGUCUAACCACAUGGAAGUUCCGG